GGACCCAUGGCGCAACGGUAGCGGUAUGGCGAAUUGAAGUUAACAACGUUACCUCAACAUAGAGCUAAUUAAAUUCAUAGCGUUCGACUCCAGAUCGAAAGGUUGUCUGUUCAAAUCAGGCUGGGUUCA